CCUACGUGAGGCAGCAGUGAGGAAUAUUGGUCAAUGGACGAGAGUCUGAACCAGCCAAGUAGCGUGAAGGAUGACUGCCCUCUGGGUGUUAAGCUUUUUUUAUAUGGAAAUAAAACAGGGUCUCCAUAUCCUCUUGUAUGUACCACAUGAUUCAGGAUCGGCUAACUCUGUGCCAGCAGCCGCGGUAAUACGUCGUAUCCGAGCGUUAUCCGGAUUUAUUGGGUUUAAAGGGAGCGUAGGUGGAUGUAUAAGUCAGUAGUGAAAGUUUGCGGCUCAACCGUAAAAUUGCAGUUGAAACUGGCAGGCUUGAGUACAGUAGAGGUGGGCGGAAUUCGUAGUGUAGCGGUGAAAUGCUUAGAUAUCACGAAGAACUCC
rnacentral:rRNA from 1 species